GGCAUCUUAGUCUAUUAAGGACAUAUAACUUGCAAUUAUAAAGAGGAAAAAUCCAGAUCGCCA
rnacentral:tRNA from 1 species